GGAGUGUCUCCCACUUAAACUUUCUGUUUCAUUUCCUCGGAGAGGGCAGGAUAGUUGCAGUGUGUUAGGGUUGUGUUGUUUUAAUUUGGAAAAGAAGACUGAUGGAGAGGAAAAGAAUCCGGUUAAGACUCAUGUUUGACGAAGAAGAAGAAGAAGAAGAAGAAGAAGAUAGGGACAGGAGAAGUAGCUUAAGGAAAAGAAAGAGAGCCAGAUAUAUUGAAGAUGAUGAUGAGGAGGAGGAGGAAGAGGAGGACAGCAACGAGGGCGAGGAGGAAGAGGACAACAAGGAAAGCAGCGAGCAGCCAGGCCCAUCCACACAGUGCACUCACAACCAGAGGAUGCAAAAAAAUAGAUUGUUGACUGUAACCUGUGGAAACAAAACAGGCAUCCUGGAUGUAGAAAAGCUGAACAGGGGUGAGGAGUGUAUCAAAUGUCAGAACAGCUGGUUCUCUCCCCCCACCUUUGAGGAAUUCGGGGGGAAAGGCUCCUGUAAAAAAUGGAAAAGAAGUAUUUUCUAUGGAAAUAAGCCACUCCAGUUUUUGUUUGAGCAAGGUUCCUUAACCACCAAGGGAUUUAAAAAGAGAGGAACUUCCCCAUCAAAGCAAAAGAAAAUCCGGUCAUCAUUUCGCAUAUCAGAUAGCUCCUCUGAAGAGUCACAAAUACAGUCCGCAGAAGAAACUGAGGAAGAUGAUGUUAGAGAUGAAGACUGGAUUCCAGGCAGUGAAGAAUUGGUCCUGGAGACAGAGGAAGAAAGGGUAGGGGUUGAAAAUGGAGGAGAGGUUAUAGACUCAGGAGCUGACAAGAGUGAAGAAGAGGAAGAUAAAAAGCAACAGGGAGAAAUAGAUGAGGACGUGCCUGCUGUUGAUGAUAACGACAACGGUGUUUGUGAAGAGAGGGAGCCAAAAUUGAUCCAUUCAACACCGGAGAAACAUGCAUUGGAGAAGAAAGUCAAAGUUGUCGUCAAAAGGCUUCCAGAGUUUCAGGUAAAGACUGCUUGUCAGUCCAUCUACGUGGAGCGUGAUACACUGAAAGAUGAUGAGAAUGCACAAAAUGAAGAGGACAGACAACACAAUUGUUCAGCAAUAGAUGACCCCUCCGUCUCAGCUGGCACACACAUUGAUCCUUCCGAGAUGUCAGACAUCAUUGUUGGAGGCUCUGAGAAAGAAAAUGGGGAGGAGUUUGUACAAAGUGAUGAAAGAAAAGAAGAUGGACAGACAGAAAUCAAAACUGAAACCGGAAAGUCUCCAACACCUCUAUAUGCACUGGCUACCUCAUCUCCAGACAUCAAACCUGAAACUGAGAACAUGGGAGCAACCAGCAAUCACUGGGAGGAGAGAGAAGGAACGGAGCGUUGUGGAAAUACGCCGGAAAAAAAACAAAGUAGAGAAGAGGGGCCUGAAAUUCAGAUACGAUGGAUUCAAGGAUUUGAAGACUGUGAAAAUGCUAAUAACGACCAUCUUAACAUGUCAACUUCUGAAGCCAGUGGUCAACCGUCACCCAUACAGAGAGGUAUCAAGAAGGAAAACAUGGAUGCAGUGUGUGGUGGCGCUCCCACUGAAUUCCAGGGUGUGCUGGUUGCCUGGACCCCCUCUGGCUACGAAGCAGCGGAAUCACAAGUGAUGAAGCUUGAGACGAGAGUUCCUGAAACAAACCGAGCCUCAGACAUCAGUCAGUCCUCUGACAUGGCGGAGGCUGCGUCCUCUAGGCCCUCCACUAGCUGCGAUCUGGAUACAAUGGACCUUGAUCAGCUGAAGAGAGAGAAAAUAAAGCUGCAGAUAAAAGUCUUGAAGCUACAAGAGGAAUACUACACUCAGAAAAUAAGGGAACGUAAAGAAUGACGACGUUUCAUUGGAGCCUGAUUGGAUGGUGCAAAAGGACAAUACGAUCACUCAGGGAUCACUGAGGGUGUUUACUCAACACUCCUGUCAAAACCUGCUAAAGUUGUCAACUUUAUCAUCAUCAUUUCCAUCUUCCAUCAUCAUCCAGCAGACAGAUUGUACCUAUAAACUUGAAACAACUAAAACAACCUGUCCAUCCAUCAUCUAUACCCGCUUAUCCUUUUCCAUUGGUUCAGAAGGUACAGGGGGUAGAGCGGGUCAGGGGUUGCUAACCAAAAGGUUUGCGGUCCGAUCCCCAGCUCCUCCCCCUGCAUGUGAAAGUGUCCGGACUCCACAUUGCUCCUGAUGCUGUGCCAUCUGUGUGAAUGGGUGAAUAUGACAAGUAGUGUAAAGCCCUUUGAGAGGUUGGAGGACAAGAAACUCUGCAACACUCUCUCUCUCCUUUUACUCUUCCGUCAUUCGUUGUGUAAGAAAAUGAUUGUACUGUGCGCCAACCUUUGACUUGACAUUAUCAAAGAUGUGCAUCAAAAGUGUAGUUUGUGAAAUAGCAGAUUGUUAUCUAUAGAGCUGAAAACUUCAUUUGAAUACCAAAAAAAGAGGACUUGUUCUCCGCUAUGGAAUUUGACUCAUCUGAGACCUGACUAAAGUCUUUUAAUCCUGCAGAAUCCUAAAGCAGUACAAAUGAAUUAAGUGUGAGGCAGGUUAUGCAUUUAUGUCACACACCUUGUGUUAUUAUGAGCAUUAGGCCUGUAACCAAGUAUGAAUGAGUAAUGAUGAAACAAAGGAAAAGGAUGACAAAAGAAAGAAAACUGUUUUUCUCUUCAUAUUCAAUGUUAAUGUUAAUACUUGCCUUACUACAAGUGUGCUAAUCAUUACAGAACAUGUGCUAUUAUUUGAUGAUUGUAAAAUGGUAUUAUUGAUACCUUUUUAUUUGUAUAUUGUUUUAAGGCCUUUGCCUAUAUUGUGGUGGCUGUGGGAGGAUAAUAGUGGUUGUUCAUUAUGUAAUUAUGUAAUGUACAUGUUUAUUAUUCUGCAGAACAAACCAAAAUUAAAUGAGAAAGAUGCUAAAAUGACAAAUGGGUAAAAAAAAAACAAUAUUGUCAGAAUAAGACCUCUUCAAAGUCAUAAUCUUCUCUUUUUUCCGCUGAAGUCGCCACGUUUUGACUCGUGAUGGCGCCUGAUAUUAGCAACCUUGCAUACAACGGCAAUAUUAAGCAGUUGUUUAGGAUUUGUAUGAGAAGGUAAAGGUAAUUUGCCCAUUUUUCAUUAAAUUGCCUGUUUUGUCAACCUUUUAGAGUCGCAGCAGCCACAGAUCGCUGACAGGCUAAUAUACAACUUCUCAUGUAACAGCCAUAGCCUACAUUAUUAGACAUUUACUAAUUGGUUUAAACAAACAACAUUUUCCAGUCUGAAUUCAUUUAUUGUCAUUGUGAAUUAGUGAAUGGUUGGAGGAGCACCUAGCACCCUGGUAUCACUGGUACUGUAUAGAAGUAGUUCCAGCUUUCAGGAAGAAAUCAGAAUCAGAAUCAGAUUUGUUUUAAUAUUUAAAGUUUUGAAAUGUAUCUUAACCUAAAAAAUAUCAUUGUUCUAUGUUCAGCUUAUCUUUGUAGAUUGAAAGUGUAAUUAUUGCCUCUCUUAUUCAUAUGUUUUGGUCGUGCCUGUCUCUCCAGUUACUGCUCAAACAUUUUUGGGACACUAUCAGGGCCCUCUUUGGAGUCAUGCCAACCACAGUGACCCUGCAAAGGAUCAAAGCAGAUUUUGUAACCUUCCUAAUGUUACUGGCAAGACGAUUGAUCUUACUUCGCUGGAAGUCUCCUUCUCCUCCCUCAUAUGAGUGAUCAGAGAUGCUCUCCAUUUUAGUAGGCUAGAAAAAAUUAGGCACAAGCUACGUGGAUGCUCAGCUAAAUUCUUUAAAAUCUGGCAGCCUGUUUUUAACCACAUAGAAACAUUACAGUUCCACGGUGUACCUCAGUGAAGCUGACUGCCCUUUAUCUAACUUUUUAACAUUGAACUCGGCACCAUAGGCUGAUUCCACUGUCAGUCUUAUUUUUAUUUUGCACCUAUGACUUCCUCGUUGACUGGACUGUGACACUAAUGUAGUCAUCCAAGUUAUAUAAUAAGUGAUGAAGACCAUGUUAUGUUCGUUGUAUGUAUCUGUUUUAUACAAUCAUUUUUGUGUGCAGUGAAUAUGUGCAAAUUAUAUAAUAUAUUGCAAAUUAGAUAACAUAUUUAAGUGCAGUGAAUAUAUGCAUGUGUUUAGGUUUGUGUGUGUGCAUGUAUGUAUGCGUAUAUAUGUAGCCAUGCACAUACUUGGACUCAUCUUACUUUUAUACAUGCUUCAUUGUCCUUGUUUUUUCUUUUUCUUUUGUCCUAUACAAAAAUCACAAAUGCACUGAAAAUGGUUGUUCUUGAAAAAAUGCUAAUAAAGAGAGUU